rnacentral:tRNA from 1 species
CGGGGAGUGGCGCAGCCUGGUAGCGCACCUGCUUUGGGAGCAGGGGGUCGCUGGUUCGAAUCCAGUCUCCCCGACCA